AGUGAACGCUGGCGGCAGGCCUAACACAUGCAAGUCGAACGGCAGCACAAGAGAGCUUGCCCUCUGGGUGGCGAGUGGCGGACGGGUGAGGAAUGCAUCGGAAUCUGCCCAUUUGUGGGGGAUAACCUCGGGAAACCGGGACUAAUACCGCAUACGACCUACGGGUGAAAGCAGGGGAUCUUCGGACCUUGCGCAGAUGGAUGAGCCGAUGCCGGAUUAGCUAGUUGGAGGGGUAAAGGCCCACCAAGGCGACGAUCCGUAGCUGGUCUGAGAGGAUGAUCAGCCACACUGGGACUGAGACACGGCCCAGACUCCUACGGGAGGCAGCAGUGGGGAAUAUUGGACAAUGGGCGCAAGCCUGAUCCAGCCAUGCCGCGUGUGUGAAGAAGGCCUUCGGGUUGUAAAGCGCUUUUGUUGGGAAAGAAAAGCAGCCGGUUAAUACCCGGUUGUCAUGACGGUACCCAAAGAAUAAGCACCGGCUAACUUCGUG
rnacentral:rRNA from 1 species